rnacentral:rRNA from 1 species
UACGUAGGGUGCAAGCGUUAAUCGGAAUUACUGGGCGUAAAGCGUGCGCAGGCGGUUUUGUAAGUCUGUCGUGAAAGCCCCCGGGCUCAACCUGGGAAUUGCGAUGGAGACUGCAAGGCUUGAAUCUGGCAGAGGGGGGGGUAGAAUUCCACGUGUAGCAGUGAAAUGCGUAGAGAUGUGGAGGAACACCGAUGGCGAAGGCAGCCCCCUGGGUCAAGAUUGACGCUCAUGCACGAAAGCGUGGGGAGCAAACAGG